GACGAACCGUGCGAACGUUGUUCGGAAUCACUGGGCUUAAAGGGCGCGUAGGCGGGCAGGCAAGUCAGGGGUGAAAGCCCACGGCUCAACCGUGGAAGUGCCUUUGAUACUGCUUGUCUUGAGGGAGGUAGGGGCGUGCGGAACUUCCGGUGGAGCGGUGAAAUGCGUAGAUAUCAGAAGGAACACCGGUGGCGAAAGCGGCGCGCUGGACCUCUACUGACGCUGAGGCGCGAAAGCCAGGGGAGCAAACGGG
rnacentral:rRNA from 1 species